GUGUUGCUUAUAUUCUUUUAGGAUCUGGUAUAUCUCAGGAUGGAUUGGUGUUACUGGGAGAAAGAUAUGUAACGUCAAAGCUUUCCCAUCUGAGUGAUUUGGAUGCUGCUAGCUGCAGCUUUGACUUUAGGGGAGAAACAUUGGCAUCUAUAUCUGAUGUUGCUUGAGUAGAAAUAGUAACAAAAGCUUAUGGAAGGCCAAAUGGAUAUCGUAAGGUCAUUGAGGGGUUUAAGUGUCUGUAUCUUGGAAUUGAUGAUGAUAGGAGAGAUGUGGGCACAACGGUUGUGGUGCGUGAUUUAUUUUACAACCAACCUGUUCGAAAGAAACAUAUGCAAUCUAGG